AUUAGAGAUUCAUAGGGGUUUGGCUUGUCUCCAAGCUACCCCGAAACCCUUUACACACACACACACACCUCUGUGCACGAGAAAUCUUUUUUCUUUACACGCUGUUGCAUCAUUGAGAAAUAAACCCAAAUCCUCCAGAGCGGGGUGAAAGUUAUACACAACUUUCGGCAAUGGAUCUCUUGGUUCUCCUAUCGAUGAAGAACGCAGCGAAUCGCGAUACAGUAAUGUGAAUUGCAGAAGUCAGUGAAUCAUCGAAUCUUUGAACGCAUCUUGCGCCUGGUGGUAUUCCGCCAGGCAUGCCUGUUUGAGUGUCAUGAAACCUUUUAGACUCACAUUUUGUCAAAUAGCGCGCCUUGUGUGCACUACUUGACGUGUGGCUCUAGUGCUGAGCGCUUUGCCGAACCUGACAUCUGUCAAAUUCGGCUCGCUCUAAAUACAUUAGCUGAGAUGAUAACCGAUCGUCGCCGACUGCAUGAUAAGUAUAUCUCGCAGUCUUCGGUGUGCGCAUCCUAGUCUCGCUUCUAACCCGGGACCGUCUUGCUUUGGGCAACCAAAGGAAGAAGGAAACCUCCCACUUUUUCAUCUCUGACCUCAAAUCAGGUAGGACUACCCGCUGAACUUAAGCAUAUCAAUAAGCGGAGGAAAAGAAACUAACAAGGAUUCCCCUAGUAACGGCGAGUGAAGAGGGAAGAGCCCAAGUUUGAAAGCUGGCGCUUGUAUUCAGGCGUCCGCGUUGUAAACUCGAGAAGCGUUUUCCGCGCUGGACCAGAUUCAAGUCCCUUGGAAUAGGGCAUCAUAGAGGGUGAAAAUCCCGUGCUUGAUCUGGAAGCCCAGUGCUUUGUGAUACGCUCUCCAAGAGUCGAGUUGUUUGGGAAUGCAGCUCAAAAUGGGUGGUAAAUGCCAUCUAAGGCUAAAUAUCGAGGAGAGACCGAUAGCGAACAAGUACCGUGAGGGAAAGAUGAAAAGAACUUUGGAAAGAGAGUUAAACAGUACGUGAAAUUGCCGGAAGGGAAGGGUAGGAAGUCAGACAUGCUUGUGUGGAUUCAGCCUUGUCUUUGGACAUGGUGUAUUUCCGCAUAGGCAGGCCAGCAUCGGUUUGUGUCGCUGGAUAUAGGCUUUGGGGAUGUGGCUUUACCUUCGGGUAGAGUGUUAUAACCCAUUGCUGAGUACAGCGANCGUGGACCGAGGAACGCAGCGCACCCUCUGGGCGGGCCUUCGGGCACCUU
rnacentral:rRNA from 1 species